rnacentral:lncRNA from 1 species
CUAAAGUUACCAUCAAACAAACAUCCUGGUUUUGAUCAUCAAAUCACGUGUCAUUCCGAUUUUGAACCCUUUCCUUUUUAAAUACUCUUUUGCCCCUCAGGGAAACAUACACUUCAAACCAGCAGCCUGGUUUUACCUCACUUGGAAUCAGCAGCCUGGUUCCACCUCGUUUCAAACCUUCAUACAAUUUUGGUUAUCCUACACACAGGAUUGAACCUUCACAUCUGUAGUUUAUCCCUAACACGGGAUUAAACUUUUCUACGCUUGCAGUUUGUCCUAAAAACAGGAUCAAACUUUUUCACACCUACAGUUUGUCCCCAUUAUGGGAUCAAACUUUCUUCUCCCCACAGUAUAGCCUGCACAUGGGAUUCACACUUCUCUUUUCCUUCAAAUCGUCCUGAGGGGCGAACAACGUUGACCUGAUCUCCCUGAUACCCGGGGGUACGUAGGCAACCAUAUUCUCUAUGGCCCGGUCGCAAUAAAAUAAACAACAAAAACAUUUCUGCCCUUUCUCUACAAAACAACAAAAACAACAAAAAUACUUCUACACCCAUCUGCCUUCUGCAUUCAGCGUUGAACCUCUUACACCAGGUACGAACUACGCCGACUUGAUCUCCUCUACAAUAGGAGUUCAUAGGCAGCCAUUCAUGGUGCAGUCUAACCCCUACCAGAACAACAUACUUGUAACACGGUACUGGGAUCUACCUUCAAUUUGCC